GUGCGACGGCGGCGAGGACCCGGCGGCGCGCGACGGGGAGGGGCUCCAGGGGCUCCUGGCGACGCGCGGUGACCCCCGGCCCCACGGUGGCGCUGCAGGAGGCCGCUGCGGCGCGGAUCCGGUAGUAGGCUGGCGUGCGCGGGAGCGCCGCCCGUGUCCGAGCCGCCUGCGGCGAUAUGGCAGGGGCCUCCCUGGCGGCCUACACGGCGGCGGCUCCCCGGCUGCUCCGGAUCCAGUGGCCUCCCCGGCGGCUCCCUGUGCAGAUCAAUCGACCGCGGGUUUGCUUACGCUGCCAGGAAAGAAAAAAAAAGGUAUGUUCUACUGCUACGCUCUUGUUGAUCCUUCUAAAGCAUUCCAUUGUUCCCUCACGCUGCCAAAAGUAAGCAAAUGCUGCAUCCUAUUUAAGUCUUAUCUUUUACUGAUGGUGCAUUCGCCAUUUGUGGCCACGAUUUGUAACGUCUCCUCUACAAAUGUUCUCAUGCUGACUUAAAAUCACAAAUCAUUUAUACAUAGGCCUAUUACCUCCCCAUCAUGCCGACUAAGAUUUUCCUAAACUAGGUAAUGGCUCUUCGUACAUCCCUGUUAACUCCGAUCCUUCUGAAAAUCGACAAAAAAACGUAGGAAAUACAUCCUCCAGAAGAGGUUAACACAUGCAGGUACCAACUUUCAGUAACCGAAGAAUCCAUGUUGCUGCAGCAGACGACCAGCAAGGUUGCAGGAGAUGCUCACCUGUUCCCUGUGUCUGAAUAUGAAACUCCUACCCUGAGUGCUUCAGUUGCAACAUCUUCCUCUAAGCAGCAUCUCACAGAUAACCAGAAAAGAAUGCCUCGUCCUAGCAUUUACAUGACUUAUUCUCUAUUCAGGUAUAUGUUCGCAGCGGCUCGUUUCCAGGUCCGUGAAAACCCAUUUAGUAACCGGAUAAGCAGAAAUAUCCGUUAACCUCAAUGCUGAAACAAGUUUGAAAGUUCCUUCUGACUCGACCACAGAUGCCCACCUUCCUCCUUUAUACAUCCAGCACCUCUAUUUCCUUUUUUUCUUAAUCUCACAUAUAUUGGUGUUGCUCCUAUUUGAUACUUUAAGGACUAAUUUGAGCCUUGGAGCAAAGUUGAAGGAUUAUUUGACUAUUUUACCUAUUUUUAAUGUGCUUUACUGCAGUUGUAUUCUUCUUAGCUUGCAAAUGAAAUCGUGGUCCACAGCUCCAUCGCAACAGCAUCUUUGCCUGAAUAUUAUCGUAGUUGAUGCCUUCAUGGUGCUUACAUAUUGCUGGGUACUAUGCUACAAGCAGCUCUUUACACAACGACCAAAUAAGAAGCUUAGCAUAGCACCAAUUUUUGGGAGCUAUUUAUUUACAAUUAUGCUCCUACAAACAGUUGCAGGCUGUGACCGUUUAAAGCAGAUUAUUUUGAAUUGAAAUGUCUGCAUGGUUCAGAUGUGAACCUUAACCUAGCUGAAAGAGGUCAGCUGUUUUAUUUUGCAGAGGUCAUCUGUUUUAUUUUGCAGUAUUAUCUACAGCCGUUCGUCUUUGCAUUCCAAUUUUUUGCAAGACGCAUUCCCCUUGACCGGGUAACUUUUGUAUAUUGUUCUUUUGCAGAUAUAUCAUUUCCAGCAACAAACAUUUUUUUUUCAAGAAACACUGAGCGCGCGCGCGACCGCUUAAUGAUUGUACUGUAAAUUGUGGUUCCAGUCGAGGUUGUAUUGCAGACUUUCCAGGACAUUGUGUACAAUCUAAUGCCGAACUAAUAUACGGCUCCUACUCAGCUCCUUUA